rnacentral:rRNA from 1 species
AUUGAACGCUGGCGGCAGGCCUAACACAUGCAAGUCGAGCGGCAGCGGGAAAGUAGCUUGCUACUUUUGCCGGCGAGCGGCGGACGGGUGAGUAAUGCCUGGGAAAUUGCCCAGUCGAGGGGGAUAACAGUUGGAAACGACUGCUAAUACCGCAUACGCCCUACGGGGGAAAGCAGGGGACCUUCGGGCCUUGCGCGAUUGGAUAUGCCCAGGUGGGAUUAGCUAGUUGGUGAGGUAAUGGCUCACCAAGGCGACGAUCCCUAGCUGGUCUGAGAGGAUGAUCAGCCACACUGGAACUGAGACACGGUCCAGACUCCUACGGGAGGCAGCAGUGGGGAAUAUUGCACAAUGGGGGAAACCCUGAUGCAGCCAUGCCGCGUGUGUGAAGAAGGCCUUCGGGUUGUAAAGCACUUUCAGCGAGGAGGAAAGGUCAGUAGCUAAUAUCUGCUGGCUGUGACGUUACUCGCAGAAGAAGCACCGGCUAACUCCGUGCCAGCCGCCGCUGUAA